rnacentral:rRNA from 1 species
AUUGAACUCUGGCGGCAGGCCUAACACAUGCAAGUCGAGCGAGCUGCGGACGGGAGAGUAAUGACUGUGAAUUGCCCAGUCGAGGGGUAUAACAAUUGGAAACGACUGAUAAUCCCCAAUACGAUUUGCUUUCCAAGGUGGGCUUAGCUUGUUGAUGAGGUAAUGGGUCACAAAGGCGACGAGCCCUAGCUGGUCUGAGAGGAUGAUACGCCACAUUGGAACUGAGACACGGUCAAGAUUCCUACGGGAGGCAGCAGUGGGGAAUAUUGCACAAGGGGGGAAACCCGGAGGCAGCCAUGCCGCGUGUGUGAAGAAGGCCUUCGGGUUGUAAAGCACUUUCAGCGAGGAGGCGUUACUCGCAGAAGAAGAACCGGCUAACUCCGUGCCAGCAGCCGCGGUAAUAA